AACGCGUCGACUUUGGCCCUGGGGACAACACCCCUGGGGAACAGCACAUUUUCAAAGCCACCCUCCCAGGGGCCCCAGGCCCGGCGCUCUGAGCUUCCUCUGAGAGCCCCAGCUGGUCCGGGAAGGUGGGGGAUAUUAGGGGACGCAGAGGAAGAAGGGCACCGCAACAGCUUGCGAAGGCCUCCACAAUGCUCCAGUUGGACCAUAAAGAAGUCUGAGCACCAAAGAACUGAUACUUUCGAAUUGUGAUGCUAGAGAAGACUCCUGAGAGUCCCUUGGACAGCAAGGAGAUCAAAUCACUCAGUCCUAAAGGAAAUCAACCCUGAAUAUUCACUGGUGAAGCUGAAGCUGAAGCUGAAGCUGAAGCUGAAGCUGAAGCUCCAAUACUUUGGCUGCCUGAUGUGAAGAGCCGACUCACUGGAAAAGACCCUGAUGUUGGGAAAGAUUGAAGGUGGGAGGAGAAGGGGACCCAGAGGAUGAGAUGGUUGGAUGGCAUCACUGACUCAAUGGACAUGAAUUUGGGCAGACUCCAGGAGAUAGUGGAAGACAGGGAAGCCUGGCGUGCUGCAGCCCAUGGGGUUGCAAAGGGUCAGACACAGAUUAGCGACUAAACAACAACAACAGUCAGAAGUUUAUGAGUAAGGUAAGCAGAAAUUUAUGUAGGUCGUUUUUUUUUUUUUAAUCACUGUUCCAAAUCCAUAAAUUUUAAAAGGUAUAUUUUUCCCCCUUUAAAGCUCAUAUUCUGAAAAAAAACCUAAACUCUCAUAAUAUCUAAGAGGAAAGUUAUAUUUACCUAUUAGAGAAAGAAGCUGAAUUAUUGCCUAUGUUCUUUCGAAGGCUUUUUUUUUUUUUUAACCUAUCCAGUCAGGAGAUGCCAAUUAGAGUAUAUUAUGAUGUUGCUUUUCUUUCCUGAUGGUAAGAAUAUUCACUUCUACAGAGGUGUCUAAAAAUAGAAACUUGACUUAGUGGAUAUCAAAUAACUUUUUCUGGCUACUCCGAAACUGGGUUACUGCUCUGUUUAUAAUCCCACAAAUUAAAGACAUGCAAUUAUCCAACAAAAACAGUGGGAAUAUUACACCAUUUUUUAAAAGACUGACAACCACAUAGCCCAUGCCCAGCCAGCUCUAGCCAAAAACCACAGUGUGGAUCCACAAAUAAAGCUGUCAACCUGUGCAUUUCAAAGGCACCUUUCUGUAGAGAGCUCAGCUUGCUUUGAGCAGAAGUGAAAAAGUCUUGAUGAAUAGAAAAGAGCCUCCCCAGUUGUUGAGCUGGUGGGCCGGCAGCAGAAUUCAUCCACACCUGAGUACUAUGGCUAGAUGAAACUCUCCUGUGGAGGUUGAGAGCUGGAGGUCUGAGUUUAAAUCCCAGCUCUGCAGCUCAUUCUCUUUGUGUGUCCUUAUACAAGCUCCCCAAUAUCUCUUUUUGUGAUUUUCCUCAUCUGUAACAAAGAGGGUGGUAAGAACCCGUAGACUUGGGCUUCCCUGGUGGCUCAGUGGUAAAGAAUCCACCAGUCAAAGCAGGAGACAUGAGUUCAAUCCCUGGUCUGGGAAGAUUCCCACAUGCCUAGGAGCAACUAAACCCUUGCACCACAAUUACUGUACCAGUGCUCUAGAGUUUGGGAACCACAACUACGGAAUCCUGAACACCCUAUAACUUGUGUUCCACAACACGAGAAGGCACCGGAUUAAGAAGUCCACGAACCACUAGAGAGUAGACCCCACUCGCCACAACUAAAGAAAAGGCCCACAUGCAGUGACAAAGACCCAGCGCAGCCAAAAAAUAAAUAAAAUUAAUCAAUUGAAUCUUAAAAAAGAACAGUAGCCUCCUCCUCAAAUAAUUCUUAUGAAGACCUAAUGAGUUAAUAUUUAUCAAAUGCUUAGAAGAGUGUCUGGCUCAACAGGCAGACUAUUUGAGCCAUAUGAUAAAUAAGGAAAAACACAAAUUUCCAUUUCAGGUCACCUCUCUAGGGGAAGAGAGAUGAAGGGAGAAGGGAGGACAUCCCAAGGUCUCAAAAAAGUUAGGGAGGAAGGUGAUCAAAGGCAGAAAGAAAAGGUAUGGGAACAAGCCUAUAAGUAUGUCAGACAUUUCCUACUGGGGAUUGUUUAAGGUCAUAAACUCACUUUUCUGUGUGUAAAACCUUCCAACGUGCUGUCUUUACAAUGAUGAAUGUGCCAAUGUCUUGAGCAGUGAACAGAGUCAUAGGUUCUCACCCAGCAUAUUGUGUUUAUAUCAGAGACAAGAGUGAAGGUUGCAGAGGCAGUAAAAUUCUCAAGGUGCAAAUAUUUUAACAAUGAGCAAGUGUAAAAAGUUCCUCCUGGCGAGCCAGUAACUUUUCUCACUCUAGGAAACCCUGCAUGAUGGCUAGAAGUUGGCCUUGGGUUACAUCCUCCACGUUGUCCUAGGGAGCUUCUGCAGUGUCCACAGUUAUGACUGGUGUGACUCUGAUGGUCGUGGGAUCCAUCCUCAAACCAGCGAAGGCUGUCAUCACACAGUGGCCCUCUUCUUUCUCCAUCCACCCCACCACAUUUCCACAAUUAUGGCUGCCUUCUUGAUGCUCAGGCAGUGCUUCUUGUGGUCACUGGGACACAAGGUGGGUCACAGGUGGCUAAUCUUUACUGCAUCCUUGUGCUGCCCUGGUCCAUGAGACCUCGGGGCCUUGGAUCAUGUCUCGUUCAUCUUUGUAUCCUCAUGGAUACACACAUUGUCUAGCCAGACUGUUAAGUGUGAUGACUUUGAAAGUUUUUGUUGUCAUUGGUGUUUGUUUUGUUCUUGGCUGCCCUGGAUCUUCGUUGCCGUGCCUGGGCUUUCUCUAAUUGCGGCGAGCAGGGCUACUCUCUAAUUGCGGUGUUGGGGCAUCUCAUUGUGGUGGCUUCUCUCGUUGCCUACUAGUUGAGUACUGAGCACAGGCUCAGUAGUCACGGCACACCGGUUUAGACCGGGGGUCAAACCUGUGUCCCAGUAUUGGCAGGCAGAUUCUUAACCACUGGGCUACCAGGGAAGUCCUGAAAGUUUUAAGCUACCACGCUCUAAGCCCAAAUAGUGAAUUCCAACAAUAUUGAUGUCACAUCUUUCUAUGCUAAGAUAAUGAUCUCUUUAUUUGAAGAGAGAAAAUUCCUGGAAAAUUCUUUUCUUUCUCUCUCUCUUAUAUCCUCCUAAAUAGAAUUCUCAACAGAGGUAUGAGCAUCAACUUUGGGGGAGGAUUCUAUAUUGAAUGAUGCUGAUUAUCAAAUGAUAUCUUUAUAAGACACUUUCUGAUUCAAUCAUCUUAAUACAAACAAAUCCCAGCUAUAGCCUGUGCAAAUUCUCUAAUCCCAAGCGUCAUAUCAUUGGUCCUUAAUAGGAGCCACUGUGAGGCUGUAACUGCAGCAGACAUAUUCUUUUACUUUCCAAACUCCAUCUCAGUUUUUAUGGACUUUAUAUUUCACUACAUUCUACUACUUCCAACUUCUAAAUACUUUCCACAUUUUUUCCUCUUAAUUCAACCACUUAAGAAUAUUAUAUUGUCUAUGUCCAGAAUUCUUUUUUGGCCAAUAAUUUAUUAAGCCAAUUAGAAAGAGCACUGUAAAGGGGGAAUCAAUGGUGAACAGUCAGCAAGAAUGUAUUAAGCAACACCAACAUCGCCAACACCAUGAACACGAAGUGAGGUGUAAAUUCUGUUCUGAACACUAGUCACAUGCUCCUCCUUUGUUUUCAUCAUUCUAAUGUUAACAAACAAAUGUCAGUCUUGAGAAUAACUGCCUUUUGCCAGUAGUUAUAAUGAAGGAACAGAUUUACAACUGGCACCUGCCAAAAAUAAAGUAGGAUAACUUCACAUCAAAAAAAAAAAAGGUUAAACAGUACUAGAGAAACAAGGGUCCCUUCUGAAGGAUUCAUUGGAAUUCAGUGUCAAAUGCCUUUCACCUAUAUUUUCUGUCCUGUGGUUCAGGGCAGUGUAGAUGUCUCUUCAGUGGUAGGGAUAUGCCUAGUGUGAGAGCUGGUGACCUACCUGAAGAAAACCGGCCACCAUCCACACCAUGGUCCUCCCUCCCUGGAGGCCCCCAGAUACAUGGGAAACCGGGCCAGACACACUAAAAAAAUGAAGUUCCAAAGUCCUCACACAACAAACACCAUGAAAGAUGGAGCACCUUACUAGAACACUGUUGAUAAAGUUCCUCCCUACAGAAUCCUUUUCUAAAAGAAUUGUCACCAUAAAAUGUCCCACCCAGUUAGAAGCACCCCAAAUCGAUUCACAGCAUGGUUGCAGGCCCAUAUCAUCAACUAUACUUCUCCUGUAACACACCAUCAAGAGCAAACAUCACUGCCUGUGUGCCACAACUGAAGCCUGAGCACCCUAGAGCCUGUGCUCCCCAACAAGAGAAGCCACCACAUCUUCUCUUACCUGCUUCAUCUCUCACAUUGAUGCAGGGACUAUGGGCUUAUCACGAGCAAGAGGCGAAGGAAGAAUUGUCUCUCGCUCCCUCCCUCCAUGUACCAAACCAGGGGCUCACUGAAGUGGUGUUAGCUCCGGGCAUGACCCUAAGGAACUCAUUCAAGAGAGAGAAGCUGCAUCCAUACAAUUCUACCUACAGAGCAACUGCUAGGCCACAUACAGGGGUCCUGGUGCGACUCCUUUGUAGGUGAGGUGGUUCAGAUAGUAAAGAAUCUGCCUGCAAUACGGGAGACCAGGGUUCAAUCCCUGGGCUGGGAAGAUCCCCUAGAGAAAGAAUGGCUACCCACUCCAGUAAUCUCAUCUGGAGAAUCUCAUGAACAGUGGAGCCUGGUGGGCUGUAGUGCAUGGGGUGACAAAGUGUCAGACAAGACUGAGCAACUAACACCCCUUGGGGAGGUCCUGGUCCUAUGUAAUAAGCAACAACAGGGCAGAGAACAAGAUUGAUGGAAAGGGAAGAACUAUUCCAGUCCAUAUCCUCUGAACUUCAAGAAAGAAGAUGAGAUGUAUUGACUUCUUUAAAUCAAGAUAUGUAGGGAAAGCCCAAAGCAAUGCUAUGAAAUAGGUCAGAUUAUCUCCAGUCUCUUGUUUCCACACCCAGUGCUGUGAAAUCAACAAGAACUCCCAUCAGUUACCCCCACACUCAAUCCUUCCUUUCUUCCCUUUCCCACCCCAAACAGGUAGACACCAGGCUGAUCUAAGUUAAGCUACUGGGAGUUCAUGGGCUUAUAAUAACCAGCCCGUCAGAGGAGACAUAAUCUUGUUUCCAUGGAGACUUUGUAUAGUACAGUUUCUAUAAGGUGUGAUUGGUGAAAUUUCAGACUUGUUUGCAUCCUUGGGAGAAAGGUUUUGGAGGAAGGUCUCCUAGUCAUAUUUAAUUCAGGUAGAUUAUCACCCAUGAUUCCAAGCAUGGAUCUUUCAUUUCAAGUCACCCUUUGAGCUCACUUGACCACUUGUUUUUCAAUCUAUAACUUAACUAUUGAGCUCAGAGUUUUGGGGUUUUUUUGUUUGUUUGCUUUUUUGCUUUUUUAAAAAGAGAACUUAUAAUUUAAACUGGGAAAGGAAAUGGCAAUGCACUCCAGUAUUCUUGCCUGGGAAAUCCCAUGGACAGAGGAGCCUGGUGGGCUACAGUCCAAGAGGUUGCAAAGGAGUCAACUUAGUGACUUAAACAACAAAAAUAGUUGAAACAUGGCUUUUUACAAAUCUCAAAUUUAUUACAAAUUAUAAAUUUAUUUACUUAUUAUUUAUUUUGGCUGCGCUGGUUCUUCGUUGUGGCUCAGGCUUCUCUAUUUGUGGUGCUUGAGCUCUAGAGCACGCAAAAUCAGUAGUAGUAGCAACAUGUGGGCUUAGUUUAGGCAUGUGGGAUCUAGUUCCCCCACCAGGGCUUGAACCCAGGCCCCCACAGUGGGAGCACAGAGUCUUAUCCACUGGACCACCAGGGAACUCCCUGAACCCAAAAUAUUAUGAACUAUUACAUUUUUGUGUUGAAACCAUCUAAAGAUGACAAAUACCUCUAUUCUUAGAAGAAAGUCCCUGCUUUGACUAACCCAUGGGUGGAGAAUGAGAAAAUUACUAUUUGCUUUUGCUUAGAAAUGUGAGCCUGUUUGGGUCCUCAGGUUUUCAUAAAACUGACAAAUCAAAAACUGGGUUUACUGUAGGAAAUAAGGUAUUCUGUAUAUACAUAUUUAGAGGCAAGAUGUGAGCACUGUACUAGAGUUUCAAAAGUGGUUAAAAUAAUGACAGCAAAUUCUCAACUGCUGUGAAAAUGAACAUGAUAAAACUUGCUGAAGGCCAGUGAACAACUGUCAGAUGCCAUAUUAUUCAAGAAUGCCGCCCUGUUACAAGGACUCACUUUUACUUACUUUCAAAUGGACCCAUAAGAAAGAAUCAAGAAAGCUAGGAAAUGCCUUAAACCUCAUCUCAUAUUACACUCUCGUGAGAAACCUAAGACCCAGAGGAUCCCCCAAAGUUCAUUGACUGUAGCUGGCCGGGCUCCUGUGUCCAUGGAAUUCUCCAGGCAAGACUACUGGAGUGGACUGCCAUUUCCUCCUCCAGAGGAUCUUCCCAACCCAGGGAUCAAACCCAGAUUUUCCGCAUUGCAGACAGAUUCUUUACCAUUUGAGCCACUUGGGAAGCCUUAGUGGAAGUAUUUACACCAUGGAAAACACUGUGAUAAAACAACACUACAAUAUAACCUUUUAUUUAUUUUUUUUUGGAGAAAGUUGCUUCUUAAAUGUUUUUUUAGAAAUCACAGUAGAGUUGCUUCACAAUGUUACGUUAGUUUCUGCUGCACAAGGAAGUGAAUCAGCCAUAUGCAAACAUAUCAUCUCCUCCCUCCUUCUUGGACCUCCCUCCCACCCCACCCUCAAUCCCACGACCCUAGAUCAUCACGGAGCAACAAGCUGAGCUCCCUGCACCAUGUGGCAGGUUUCCACCAGCCACCUAUCUUAGACAUGGUAGCGUAUAUACGUCAUUCCCAAUCUCCCAAUUCAUCCUCACCCUCCAUGUCCACACGUCAAUUCUCUGGGUCUGCGUCUCUUUUCCUGUCCUUCAAACAGGUUCAUCUGUACCAUUUUUCUAGAUUCCACAUAUAUGUGUUAAUACAGCACACCCCUGAUUAUACAAGUAAUACUAGUCAUUUUUUUUAUUGGACACAAUCAGAAUCAACUGUCCUCUUUAAUACCUCCCAUACUCAAUCCAAUAAACAGUUUGGUGUGUUUCUUCCAGACCUUUUUCAUACAUUUAUGUAUUGUGACAUUUGCUGAGUUUAAAUGUACUGGCUUAUUGCCUCUCAGCUGGGAAGCUUUCUCAGACUGCUCCUGCUGCCACUAUUAUGUCUUUCCUCUGAUCUCCUUCUACACCCACCACAUCUUUUCUAACUUCUGUGUGCCUUGUUUUUUCUUAAGAUUUCAAGCUGUUUGGAGAAAGGUAUCCUUAAAUGCCUGUAUUUUCUACUCAACGGGCAACCUUCAUUAAAAUGAGUACUUUCUAAGGAUCCAAUGUACAGCAUGCUGACCACAGUUAACAAUACGCUAUUGUACACUUGAAAGUGGCUAAGAGAGCAGAUCUUAAGUGUUCUCACCACAAAAAAAAAAAAAAAAAGGCAGUUAUAUGAGAUGAUGGUAUUAACUAAUCUUAUUGCAGUAAUCAUUUUGCAAUGUGUAUGUUCCUCACAUUGAACACCUUAAACUUAUACACUGUUAGGCAUCAAAUUAUAUCUCAAUAAAGCUGGGGGGGAAUUAAAAUGAAAUAAAAAGAACCGACCCUCCAAAAUGUCACUCGUUUAAUUCUUUGAUCCAAAACCGGCUAGGAAUCAUCCAGUGCCGUCUGAAUAUAGCAUUAGAUAGACAGAAUCCAAGCAAUAAGCCCUUUCAAGGUGUUUUCUUUAUUUUUUCUCUCUUUCUUCCUUUGGCUACCUCGAGUCUUAGUUGCAUCAUGCAGAAUCUAUCACAGUGAUGCACAGAUUCUCGAGUUGCUUCCUGUGGGCUCAGUAGUUGCAUGCAGGCUUAGCUGCUCCACAGCAUGCGGGAUCUCAGUUCCCCAACCAGGGAUCAAGUCCCCUGCAUUGCAAGCUGGAUUCUUAACCGCUGGACUGCCAGGUCACCCUGUGGACCGGGAGCCACACAGAGUAAGAACGAACCUUCCGGCUCUCAGCAGAGAUUCUCAUGAAAUCUCCAGCUCCAGGACUCAACCUCCUCUUCUCUUUUUCUUGAUGUCCAAUGGUGAUGUUGUCCGGGUGACCUGGUCUUCAGCACAUGCCCAAGCCCUCCCUAAUGUACUUCCCUCCUCCAAAUUGUAAGCUGUGGUUGGUUAAUAUCAGUAGUAACCACAGAAGAACACAUGAGAAGUCAAGACACUUUUCAUUGAGAACUAUUACUUAGUGAUAUGAUUAGUCAUCAUCUAUUGAACUCUAAUGGGGCUUCCCUGGUGGCUGAGUGAUAAAGAAUUCACCUGCCAGUGCUGGAGACAUAGGUUCAAUCUCUGGUGCAGGAAGAUCCCACAUGCCUCAAAGGAACUGAGCCCGUGUGCCACACUAUUGAGCCUGUGCUCUAAAACCCUGGGAACCGCAACUAAGGAGUCCCCACGCCACAACUACUGAAGUCCGUGCACUCUAGAGUCUGUGCUCUGCGACAAGAGAAGCCACUGAAGUGAAAAGCCCAGGCACCAUAACCAGAGAGUAGCCCCUGCUUGCUGCAAUUACAGAAAAGCCUGUGCAGCAAUGAAGACCCAGCACAGACAAAAAUAAAUUAAUUAAUUAAUUUAAAAAAAAAAAAAGAAUCCACCUGCAAUGCAAGAGACAUGGGUUCAAUCCCUGAGUCAGGAAGACCCCCUGGAAAAGGAAAUGGCAAUCCCCUCCAAUAUUCUUGCCUGGGAAAUCCCAUGGACAGAGGAGCCUGGUGAGCUACAGUCCAUGAAGUCGAGAAGAGUCACAUAUGACUAAGCGCGUGUGUGCACACACACACAGACACACACACACACAUGCACACAUUGAACUCUAAAACCUCACAUCUGCUAAACACUAAUAAUAACAGUGUUAGAUAUGUAUUGAGCGUUUACUAUGUGCCAAGGAUUGUGGUUAGUGUUACCUUAAUUUUCUCAUUGAAUUCUAACAUAGGUUCUUUCCAGUGAGUGUUAUUUCUAUCCUACACAUAAGAAAACUGAGACAUACAGAAGUCAAUGAGUGGUAGAACCACAAUUGGAAGCUGGUCACUGUUUCUAAAAUCUGUGCUCUUCAUGAGUUAUGCUAAAGUGUCUUUCCCUAAGUAACUUAUUUUGAAGUGAAAUGAGUAACUUUAGUUUUAAAAGUGUUGCGGGAAUUCUCUGGCAGCCCAGUGGUGAGGACUUGGCCCUUUUUCACUUUCACUGCCUUGGCCGGGGUUUAAUCCCUGGUCGGGGAACUAAGAUCCCCCAUCAAAAUAGUAUGGUACUUGCAUAAAACAAAUGGAACAGAAUUAUGAGCCCAGAAACAAACCCAAGUGUACACAGUUAACUAACAUUUGACAAAGGAGUCAAGAAUAUUCAAUGGAGAAAAGGCAGUUUUUUUUUCAAUACAUGGUGCUGAGAUAAUUGGAUAGUCACAUGAAAAAUAAUAAAACUGAACCCAAAUCUUACAUCACUCAUAAAAGUUAACUUAAAAUAGAUUAAAGCCUUAAAUGUAAGACUUUAAAUCAUGAAAUUCUUAGAAGAAAACCAAGGAAUAAAGCUUCUUUACAUGGGGGUUGGUAAUCAGUUUUUAAUAAGACAGCUAAAGCACAAUUAGCAAAACAAACAACAAACAAGUGGUCCUCCAUCAAACUAAAAAGCUACUGCACAGAAAAAAGAAAUUAUCAACAAAGUGAAAAGAAAACCUGUGGAAUGGGAAAAAAAAACAAACAUGUGAACCAUAUAUAUAUUGAGAAGCUAACAUCCAAAAUCUCAUACAACUCAGUAGCAAAAAAGAGAAAAAUAACCCAGUUUAAAAAUUGGACAAAGGACCUAAAUAGACAUUUCUCCAAAGAAGAUAUACAAAAGGCCACUAGGUACAUGAGAAGAUGCUCAACAUCACUAGUCAUUAGGAAAAUGCAAGUUAAACCACAAGGAGAGGUUAAAUCACCUCUUACCUGUUAGAAUGGCCAUCGUCAAAAGGAUAAAAAUAAUAAAUCUUCCUGUGAAUGCAGAGAAAAGCGAAUCCUUGUGCACUGUUGUGAAACUAUAAACUGGUGUAGUCACUAUGGAAAAGAAUGUGGAGAACCCUCAAAAAAUUAAAAAUAGGCCAACCAUAUCAUCCCGCAAUUCCACAUCUGGGAAUAUACCCAGAGGAAACAAAAAUAUCAACUUAAAAAUAUAUCUGUAUCCCCAUGUUCUUUGUAGCAUUAUUUACAGUAGUCAAGAUGUGGAAGCAACCUCUGUGCCCAUCAAUGGAUGAAUGGAUAAAGAAAUUAAAUACAUAAUAGGAGAUCCAGUCAUUUACAAAGAACUGUGCCAGCUGACACUCUCGGGAGACUUAUAUGAGAGUCCUGCAUCCUCGGCAACACUUCAUAUUAUCAGUCCCUUUAACUGUCGUCAUUCUUUUAGGUGUGUAGAAGUAUGUUACUAUGAUUUUAAUUUGUAUAACCCUUAUGAUUAAAAUGAGGUUGGGUACUUUU